GAUAGAAUAAUGUAGGUAAGGGAAGUCGGCAAAUUAGAUCCGUAACUUCGGGAUAAGGAUUGGCUCUAAGGACUGGGCCGGUCGGGCUGUAAUGUGAAGUGAGUACGGUUUGAUCCAUGCAGUGUAACAUUAAAAUGAAAAACAUUAAAAAUGCCUUCAUUUUGAUGAAACUCGGCUAGUGUUCGAACUGUCUUAUGGACCGUUAUAGCUGCAUAUCAACUAUUUUACUUUUUUUUUUGUAAAAGUUAAUUGUUUUA
rnacentral:ncRNA from 1 species